rnacentral:lncRNA from 1 species
UUCCUGUUUUUUCCGUGUUUUUGACCCUUUUCAGAGGAGGAUUUUAAACAUUGCCCAAACGGAAUAAAAUUUCUGAAAAGAUUUUUUCCGGAACAGAAGAUACGCACGAGACUUGAGAACCAAGGCAGGGGCCACCAGGGGACCCCACAAACCCCCUAGGCGUGGCCAGGGGGGCGCGCCUAGCAGGCUUGUGGGCCCCCUGUGGCUCGUCUGCCCUACCUCUUCCGC